rnacentral:lncRNA from 1 species
UUCUGUCUAGUCAAUGACACACCUGAACCCUGUUCUCAUUCUUCUAUUCCCACAGGCUCAGCCUGCUGCUCGUGGUUCUGCUUGAUUUUGGCAGCUCUGUGCAGGUCUAUCCCUGGGCCCAUAAGCAAACUGUGUGGCUUCAGUUCCAAUACACAACCUUUUCUUCUACUGCUACUUCUUGCUAACUUAAAAGGCCUGCUGGUUGUGGGACAUAUUCUGAGGACAUUUUCAAAACCACCGAAGGAACAAACACUGUAUCAACACUGUGCAGAUGUGUUUUAACCCAGCAGAAUAUUUCAGUGAGUUUUAUGUUCCUUUAAAUACUAAAGUUUGGUCUGUGAAAGAAGCAUGCUGUUGUGAAGCUUCAUCAGACUUCAAGCGGGAUUGGGAUGAAAAGACCCUCUUUCACCUCAAUUAUUGGAAAAUGCAGGCCUCAUUUUCCACUAAAGUUGUGCCCAGACAGUGCAAAGAAGAACUGCAGGAGAAGGAUGAGACCAGCUCUGAGCAAGCAGGAGUAUCUCCACUGCACAGCACUGCAACAUGUUGUCAAAAUUAUUGACAGCAUUUUGGGGAUGCCAUAAUAUUGGCACAGUGUGGAUGGGGCUAUUUCAGGGAUCUUUCCACAAAGUAGCAGAGAUGUAACCAAGCUAUAGUAGUAGCAGCCCAAACAAGCAGCAACAAAAGUUUAAUGGCACAGGGAAACUAGUAAAAAUACCAAAGUUGAUGGUUUUCUUCCAACAAUCAGAAGCGUUCAAAAUUAGAAAUAUUGAAUAAAUAGAAAGAAUGACUUAGUGUCA